rnacentral:tRNA from 1 species
GGGGUUGUGGCUCAGUGGUAGAGUGCUUGCUUAGCAUACAAGAAGCCCUGGCAGGGUUCAAUCCUCAGCACCA